rnacentral:lncRNA from 1 species
GGGCCUUUCGAGACCAUGAUGACGUCAUAACGACGAGACCUAUGAGGGGCACCUGCUCUGAAAUCUUGCUGAUUUGGACUUAACGUCCACUGGAAUCUUUCCCCCAAAAGCCUGAACCAACAGUUAACUGAAAUAAAGCUGAACCCCAUCCCCAGCACAGGUCUCAGUGACCUGCAUCAGUGAAACAGCCGGUUUGCAAUGAACGGAACCUCCCUGCUCCUCCACUUUUGCGUUGAUAAUGAGUCAACAAUGGUCUCCACUGAGGCAGAGAGAACGGCUUCACAGCCUCCACAGUGGGAAGCAGUGGGGACACCUCACACUUCCGCUGCACCCCACGCUCCCCUUACAAGACAUGACUUCCGGGACUACCUUUUCGCGGAUAGAAAACCUGGCAGGUGCUUCUGAUUAGGUUUCCCAGCUCAGAAGCCACCAUUAGCAAGGUGUCUGCCCUGGGAGGGGUGAAUGUUACUGUUCUUAAAAUUAAGAAAAAAUAAACAUGACAUACAAUAUUCCCAUCUUAACGGUUUUGAAGGGUACAGUUCAGUGGCAUUAAGUAUAUCCCCCUGGCCCA